rnacentral:rRNA from 1 species
CUACGGGUUGCUGCAGCUAAGAAUCUUCCGCAAUGGGCGCAAGCCUGACGGAGCGACGCCGCGUGAAUGAUGAAGGCCGAGAGGUUGUAAAGUUCUUUUCCUAGGGAGGAAUAAUAAUAGAAGGAAAUGUCUGUUAGAUGACGUUAACUAGGGAAUAAGCCCCGGCUAAUUACGUGCCAGCAGCCGCGGUAACACGUAAGGGGCAAGCGUUGUUCGGAAUUAUUGGGCGUAAAGGGUGCGUAGGCGGAUUAUCAAGCCUGAUGUGAAAGACCACAGCUUAACUGUGGGAACGCGUUGGGAAAUGGUAGUCUAGAAUGAUUGAGGGGUAACCGGAAUUUCUAGUGUAGGGGUGAAAUCUGUAGAUAUUAGAAAGAACACCAAUGGCGAAGGCAGGUUACUGGCAGUCUAUUGACGCUAAGGCACGAAAGCGUGGGGAGCAAACAGGAUUAGAUACCCGGGUAGUC